rnacentral:misc_RNA from 1 species
CGUAAAGGUGCAUGAGUGGUGUUUGGUUUGUUACGGGUGGUUGGCUCUUUGCUUGCGCAACAACUUCCACCUGGCAUACCUCUUCAGUCUUGUGUCAAUGCUUACAUCGCAUUGAAUGCACGGUGGGUUUCUUGUGUUGCAUGCCUAAUUAAUGGUAUUGUAAGAUGAAUUGGUUUUCCUUUUGUCUUGCGUUGCUUAUGUGAUGUGAGAUGAACCUUGAAGCAGCCUUAGUGUUCCACUCUUUUGAUGCAUACGCAUUGACUUUGUGGCCCAUUGAGCGUUGCUUGGUCUCAUGGAUAUGGAAGCUGGUGUGGGCAUGGGAUCUUAAUGGUUCCUUGUUUGCCCAAGUUUAGCUUUUCAAAAGCGAUUGUCU